rnacentral:lncRNA from 1 species
GUCAGUCUUCCACUAGCAGCCUUUGGAUGAAGACAUAGAACUCUCAGCUCCUCCAGCUCCAUGCCUGCCUGGAUACUGCCAUGCUCUCACCUUGAUGAUAAUGGACUGAACCUCUGAACCUGAGGCAAUGCCAAGAUUUACAGGAUUCGGGAUUCCUAAUUGAAUCGUCUGAGCGUGGAGAGUGCUUGCUCUGGGAAUCUUCAGAGGCGGGAGAGUGGUUUGUCAGUGUCAAGUGUCUGGUGUGGCUCUGUGGACUGGGGCUGUGGGCUCGACUGUGAUCGCUCAUUGCCUUCAGGGUAUGCACUGUUCUAAUACAAGAAACAUUUCACAAGGAAAAGAAACAACUCAAACUUGGACUGGUGGCAGGUGGAGCCCCUGCCAGGCUGACUCUGAGGGGAGGGGUGGGUGUUUUAGAGAGUUGCAAUAGAGGUAAGGACUCAAAGUUCUGGGGAGCUUUAGCCUUGGCAUGCUAAAUUCUGGCUGUGUGAUCUUUCAUAAGU